rnacentral:lncRNA from 1 species
AAAAUAGAACUAACCGCGUUUUGCCGAAGGAACUCUUCAAUUUAUUUAUUUUAUUUGAAAGUCACAGAGACCAAGACCGCUCCCGUCUGCUGGAUCUCGCCCCAAAUGCCCACAAACAGCCAGGGUUGAAAGCCAGGAGCCGAAAGCCAGGGGGCGCCAUCUGGGUCUGGCACGUGGGCGGCAGGGCUCCAGGUGCCUGGGCGAGCCCUGCUGCCUGCCUCCCGGAGUGUGCACCUGCAGGGAGCUGGAGCCCGGGGCCGAGCCGGGACCUGAAUGCCCGCCCUACCCUGCAGGACGGGAUGUGGGGGUCCCAGCCACGCCAGAGUUGUGUUUAAAUGUUCCUGACCGUGGAAGCCGGGGAGGGGGCAGGGCCCUGCGGCCAGAGAAGACCCCGGAGCAGGAUACCCAGAGCCGGGGCGCCCCGAGGCUGGGCACAGGACCCCCACCCCGGCUCUGCCUUAGAGAGGCCCCUACGUGCUGAGAGGGAGCCCAGACUCACUGGGGUGCCCCUAGGGACCUCAAGGGCCAUGGGUAGGGCCCGUCCUGUAGGGUGGGGUCGGCGUCGGGCACAGGAAGACGCCAUGGUGAGUGCUGAGGCUAAGAGGGGCCGACUGCAGGUGCAGGUUGAACUGUGGGACAGCGUGUGUGGGCCACGCCCUGCCCGUCACCGCGUCUCCCCCGCCUCCCCGGCUCAGUGCCUCCUGCCCAGCUCCGCAGCCGGCAGGGCUCCGGCCACCCUGGGACCCCAGCCCGCGGUCGCCAGGGUACCUGCUCCCACAGGUUGCUCAUCUCUACGGUGUUAAACAUCACAGGAGCCCGUGCUGUGGUGUAGCGAGUAAAACCGCCGCCUGCCACACCGGCAUCCCAAGUGGACACGGGUUCAAGUCCCGGCUGCUCCACUUCUGAUCCAGAUCUCUGCUACGGCCUGGGGGAGCAGUAGAAGAUGGCCCACGUGCUUGGGCCCUGCACCCACAUGGGAGACCCGGAUGGAUUCCUGGUCCCUGGCUUUGGCCGUGUCCAGCCCUGGCUGUUGUGGCCAUUUGGGGAGUGAACCAGAGGAUGAAAGACAUCUCUGUCCCAGCCCUGUAACUCUGCCUUCCAAAUAAAUCUUUUUAUUUUUAUUUUUUAAAAGAUUUA